rnacentral:lncRNA from 1 species
CCACAAAGUCCAUGAAGUCAUGGGUAGUGUGACACAUGAACUAAGAGACACCAAGUGGGGUGUUACACAUGAAGUCCAAAAUGCCAUGAGGGAGGGUUAACAUGAAGGCAGAAAUGGCAUGUGGAGUUUACACAUGAAGUCAGGGACGACAGGGGCAUUUUUACACACAAAGUCAGAGAUGCCGGGGACUGUUACACACAAAGACAGUGUGGAGAGAGUGAAGUCACGGACACCAGUGGUAGUGUUACACACCAAGUCCAAGAUGACAGGUGGAGUCUUGUGCAUGAUGUCAGAGGAGCCAGGUUGAGUGUUACACGUGAAGUAAGAGACCCACAGGGGAGUGCUAUCCACAAUGACAUAGACGACAGGGGGAGUGUUACAUGAAUUCAGAGAGACCAUGGUUACAGUUACACAAGAAAUCAGAUAUGACAGGUGGAGUGUUACACACAACUUCAGAGACAUCACAGGGAGUGUGACACACGAAGUCAGAGAUGACAUAGGGAGUGUUAUGCAUGAAGUCACAGACACCAUGGGGAGUGUUACACACAGAGUCAAAGAUGCCAGGUGGAGUGUGACACUCAAAAUCAGAGAUGAGAGGGUGAUUGUCAGACAUGAUUCAGAGAUGCCAUGAGGUGUGUGACACACAAAGUCAGAGAGACCACUGAGAGAGUGAUGCAAGAAUUCAGAGAUGCCAAGGGAGUGUGACACAUUAAAUCAGAGAUGCCAGGGCAAGUGUGACUCACAAUCUCAGAGACAAUGGGGGAGUGUCACACAUAAAGUCAGAGAUGCCGGGGGAGUGCUACACAUGAAGUUAGAGACAGCAGGGGGAGUGUUACACACAUUUAGUGUUACACAGGAAGUACAAGACAAAAGCAGAUUGAGACAUAGGGAAUCAGAGACUCCAGGGGGUGUGUUACACAUGAAGCCAGAUAUGCCAGGGGUAGUGUGACACAUGACAUCAUAGUCACCAUAUGAAGUGUGAGAUGAGAGGACAGAGACAACAAGGGGAAUGUGACAUACAAAGUCAGAGACCACAGGUGAAAUCUGAAUUGUGAAGUCAGAAUCACCAGGAAUAGUGUUAAACAGGAAUUCUGAGACACCAGGGAGCGUGUGAUUCAUGAAGUUAGAGAUGCCAUAUGUAGUGUUACUCAUGGUGUCACAGAUGCCAAGGGAGUGUUACACACAAAGUCAGAGACACCAUUGGGAGUGUUACAUGUGUCGACAAAAAUAAUCCAUAACCAAUCAAUAAAUGAAAAUUUGGGUGAGUUUAUUCUGAGCUUAAAUCUGAGGAUUAUAACCUGGGGCCUUUCUUCCUGAAGGAAGAAAGGGCACCAAAGAAGUGGGGUGCACAGACUGGUUAUAUAUCCCCAGGGAGGAUGUUUCACAUAGGAUUGAAAUGUCCCUUUUACAAUAGUCGUGAGACUGCUCUGUCGGCACAGCGAUGGCUGGAAACAGCAGGUAGGUCUUCUGCCUCAGUGAACGCCGCAGGGUGGCAGUCUGUUGUCUCCAGUUGAGUGGUGACAGGUGAG